CCUACGGGAGGCAGCAGUGGGGAAUAUUGCACAAUGGGCGCAAGCCUGAUGCAGCGACGCCGCGUGAGGGAUGACGGCCUUCGGGUUGUAAACCUCUUUCAGUAGGGAAGAAGCGAAAGUGACGGUACCUGCAGAAGAAGCGCCGGCUAACUACGUGCCAGCAGCCGCGGUAAUACGUAGGGCGCAAGCGUUAUCCGGAAUUAUUGGGCGUAAAGAGCUCGUAGGCGGUUUGUCGCGUCUGCCGUGAAAGUCCGGGGCUCAACUCCGGAUCUGCGGUGGGUACGGGCAGACUAGAGUGAUGUAGGGGAGACUGGAAUUCCUGGUGUAGCGGUGAAAUGCGCAGAUAUCAGGAGGAACACCGAUGGCGAAGGCAGGUCUCUGGGCAUUAACUGACGCUGAGGAGCGAAAGCAUGGGGAGCGAGCAGAUAGAUACCUGUAGUCAUGACGUAACGUAGGCGACUAGUGUGGGACGAUCUACGUUCCGUCGCCGUCGCUACGCAUAGUGCCCGCCGUCGGGAGGACGGCCGCGAAGGACGUAAACGUUACGAAGUAGAAGUUAGUACGGCGUUGAGACGNGCCGACGGACGACGACGAGGGAGGAGG
rnacentral:rRNA from 1 species